UUGGGAUUUCCCCGGCAAGGGACUGAGGAAGGAGCAGGAAGCGAGAUGGCUGCCAAGUCAGGAGAAGAGUAGAUUCCACACCUGAGAGAACCACCAGCAGGGAACCAAGUGUUCAAAUACGUGAGCCUGUGGGGGACAUUUCUCACUCAAGUCACCACAGGGUCCCACCAUACUUGGCUUGUUGCAUGGGUGCUGGGGAUGAAACUCAGAUCUCCAUGCUUAUACAUCAAGAAUGCUGCUGACUGAGAUGUCUCCUCAGCCCUUCCUGUCAAUAUUUUGAUCUCAAGACCUCUGUCCUCCAGAACCAAGAGACAACAAUUGCUGUUGUUGAACGUACUCAGUCUUCAAGGCUUCCUGACUGACCAGUACAAAUGCCACAGCGCUCAGUGUGGCUUUAAUUCCCAUACUCAGAAGGCUAAGAUAAGACACCUGAGUUGAGAGCUAGCCUAAGCUACAUAGUGAAGGCCUGUAUUUAAAAAAAAAGGAAGGGAAUGAGGAAAGGGGAUAACAUUUGAAAUUUAACUAAAGAAAAUAUC
rnacentral:lncRNA from 1 species